rnacentral:rRNA from 1 species
UACGUAGGGUGCAAGCGUUGUCCGGAAUUAUUGGGCGUAAAGAGCUCGUAGGCGGUUUGUCGCGUCGAAUGUGAAAACCCGGGGCUCAACCCCGGGCCUGCAUUCGAUACGGGCAGACUAGAGUUCGGUAGGGGAGUCUGGAAUUCCUGGUGUAGCGGUGUAAAUGCGCAGGAUAAUCAGGAGGAACACCGGUGGCGAAAGGCGGGACUCUGGGCCGAGUGACUGACGCUGAGGAGCGAAAGCGUGGGGAGCAAACAGGAAUUGAGAUAC